rnacentral:lncRNA from 1 species
UCUCUUUAUUUAUUUGAUGAUUGUAUUUGGUACUUAAGGACCGUCAACAAACUUCCCCAAGCUUAAAUCUUGCUCGUCCCUGAGCAAGGAUAGACUCAGUGAUGGAUCAGAAGCUGCUAUAAUGCCUUUAAAAGUUGACGGUACACAUGCUUUCAAAUGAGGUCUCAUCUCUUAGAGUAAACUGUUAAUACUUAAAAUUUACUCAUUUUACCUUUCACCAUGGGGCUUGUAACCGUCACUUGUGUCUUGAGCAGUUAAAAGAUAGAACAGUCAAGUCAAGCGCCAUGUCUCUUGUUCUUUGAUCAACUAUAGCUCUGGAGUUUUUGCAGAUUUUCAAAUAAAACUUAGAGAUUCAUUGUAUGACUCUCUCAAAUCUCUGUUUUGCGGUAUUUCUGGAUCCUUACCAAGGCAGUAAUGGUAUAUGUCUUCUCUCAAAGUAUGUGGUAUUUUUGGUAUGAGGCAUAGUGACAUUGCCUUCUCUCUCACCCUACUCUAAUAAGGUUUUGAUAUCUGGAGCUCAUAGGUGGGAGACAGCUAAUACAUACUUACAAGACAUUUAUUGCAUAAUCAAACCAUGGAUCUAGAAGAACAAGUCAAUAAGUCAAAUCAAGAUGUGCAUGUGUGGUGAAUGAAUGGUGUAUGGUGAUGAUGGUGAUAAUGGUGAAAACAAUGGUGAAAGUCUAAUUCUACUUUUGCUCUUUUGAGGGGAUACAUAACUUUCUUGCACUUUGAAGUUUUUUGAGGGGAAUGAGAUCCUCUAUAUUUUCUUUUUCUUUUCUCUCAGGUGGGUAUCUUGUACCCCUAAUUCUACUAUCGGACACUUGUCCAUUUUUACCUCUCGUCUCACUUUUUCUUUUUUUCGAGGUUUCGGGCACUUGCCCCUUUUUAUUUCCUCGUAUUUUUCCCUUUUCUUCUAUUUUUUUAGAGCACUCACCCUCCUAGAACAAUGUAGCAAGUGGUAGUAACCAAGAUAACUCGAGCAUUUAUUUCACAGGGAAUAUCAGGGAUAGGAAAAUAUUUUUGGCUAUUCUCUCCCGGAUAGGAGUAGAAUAAUUUUAGGUGAAUCUGGAGAUGGAAUUGAGCGAAUGUAUUUGGAUGCAUACUUCUAGAGUAUAAGUAGCAUGUAUGAGUGAACGUGCAACUUAAUCUUGAUUUUAAUCGCAUGACAAGCUCCUAAGGGUCUACACAGCUUGUUCACACUCAAUGCUCAUAAACAGUAAAAAGUAAAUGUAUGGUUCAUAGUCUAAUAAGAAUGUGGCGGUGGUAGGAUUUUAAACUCUCAUCAUACAGGAACUCAUCAUGCAACAUUUUAAAGAUUUUCAAAGAUAAAAUUCUCUAGAAUUCUAGCAUCUCUAGGAACAGAUAAACAGCAGCUCAUCCUUCCCAUAUCGUAUCUGUUAACGACUUAGACUUUAGAUCAAGUACUCUUCUCACAAGUUCACGUUUAGACCAAAUCUUAAUUCAUAACAGUCAUGCCUAAACUUGAGAGAGAUUUCAAUUUUGAGAACUAGUCAUGGCAGAGCAACUAUUCUGAGAGCUUAUCUAAGCAAAGAUAUAUAUAAGCACAAAAUCUUUAUUUGGGUUUUUAUGAUUAUGCAUCUUUUUAUUAUUUGAGUAAAGUAUAAACACGAGUAGAAACACUUAGCUAGAUAACUGGGGGUGCCCUCCCCCAAGCUGAAUUUUGACGUAAUUUCCUCCGAUGUAGCUAGUAGGUGGUGGAGGUGUAUUUGAAUGUCGGCAGCACCCUGACAGCGAUUAGGGUGUCCUCCGUCUCCUAGUCUUCUUUGAUCCUUGAAUUCUGUGGAGCUCAAAUAGAUAGCAAAGCUUUGUGGAACUGGUUAAGUGUUAGCAUAAAAUCUCUUAGCCAUUAUCAUGUUGAGCUUCCUCUAAUAAAUAUUACUCUCUUUGGUAGGAUCAUAAAUUUAUAUUUAUAUUUUCAUUUUUAUAGGAAAGGAAUAUUUUUAUUUUUACGCCACCACAGUGAAUGGACUUAUGGGUUUUAUGCCACGAGCAUACUCACAUGGGGCUUACUAUUUUUAAGAUUUUAAUUUCUUUUCAAGAUAGCAUGAUUAACUAACAAGUCAUUUAAGGAAUGUAAAUAAUUUAAGGGAAAAGGGAAUGCAGAAAGGAUAAAUAUGGAUAACUACCGAUUUUUUCUUUCGGCGAGGGUUCAAUGUUUUAAGUCUUCUGAACAAGACUUCUCACCGUGUUCAUUCUUUAGGUACGUCAUUUGAUUCAGGUGUGGACCUUGAUGUCUGCACCUCUUGAUACGGUGUCACCCAUGUUUUUUGUUUGCCCAGCAGUUCAAAGUGCGGUGUUGGCAGCAUCCUGCUCAGUGUAUUUGUGCUCGUAGAUCUAGGUCCUUCACUUGGUGGACACUGGGAGUUGUAAAACUCCUCCAUGUUUUGCUCGAAGUGUACCUACUCAUAGAGACAAGGCAGAGAUCAAGUGCAUGGGCCCUGUUGGUGGAAAACACCAACAGAACCAAACGUGUAUUUGUUCUUCUCUAACCUUAAGCAUAAUGAGCAAGACAAAGUUGAUGGAUAAUAAGAUCAUGAGUGUAGCAUUUAAAACAUUUGUUAGAUCAGAUCUCUCAACCUAAUGAAAAGAUAAUCUAUCUAUAUUUAUGUUUUUUAUAUAUCUUCCAAAGAUUGAGUGUGCAAUAUUUUAGCUCAUAUGACUAGGAGUGUGGGAUCACAAAGGUGGAAGGACUAAACAUGUUGAAUUGAUUGGGUUGGUUAAUCUAGAGUUGUAAAUCAUACAUGUUUGUCUCUUUUAUUCAUGUGAAUGCCAGAACCAAGGAGACGCUUAUAAAAGUGAUAGUCAAGUACCUUAAGAUGUUACCUUACUUGAAGAGUGAUGGUACAGUAUCACCUUGUGGAAGCUUUCCUUUCUUAGCGGUUGUGCAUCGUGUCUGUGGCACCCUCCAUGGAUCAUCUCUUAUGAGCUAUGUCUUCCUUGUGUAAAUUGUAAAAAUUCAUGUGUCUCUCUCUUUGUCUCCAAUGUGAGUUUAUCUCAGGACUUCCCAGGUCGAUAUUGAAAGUUUUCCUAUAGGGGUUAGUCCAACAAUAUAUCUAAUAUCUACUAUAGCAUACUAUCGGCUCAAAAAUCAACCUAGACACCAUGUCUAAUUUGAUUUAGGAUGGCAUUUUAAUCUAAGCACCAUGCUUAAUUUAAAAUCCCUUGAAAGUAAGAUCAUCAUUCCUAAACUAAGCACCAUGCUUAUUUAAGAGAUAAAUGAAACUACUCCAAACCUAGACAUAUACUAAAGCAAAUAAAGGUAGCAUGAGAGCAUUUAUAGAGAUCUACUCAAGUGGAGAUAAAGUAGUGUGAUUAGUAUUUAACGAAUUGAGCAUGUCUCAAAGGUAGGGACAACCAACAUAGCAACAUGGCAAAGGAUGUUUUUAUGUAAAGUACUCCCCAAGCUUAAAUUUUGCAAAAUUCAAGUUCGGAUGAAUUUAAUUCAAUAUUGUAUGAUGAUUUGUUGGACAUACCUUAUGCGUGUCAUUCAUUCGAUCUUCUUGCUCCAAUCCUAGAAAGGUUAGUGACAAGAAUGCCCGAAGGAAUAUUUUUACAAUUAUCCUUAUAUGCUCAAUACACAAGGUAAUGUUGCAAAUAAUUAAAAGCUCAUGUUACGAUCUGAUCAGUGCUUAUUUUAGGACACUAAGCUUGUCCUGGGGAAACCAUCAGUUUAUGUUGGUGAAGUGGUUUCCCCUCCGACACCAACCUAUAUCAAGAUCAACUCAAUGAGAUCUGCAAUAUUUGUUAUAGACAUAUGCAUCGAUAACCACCCUUUUAAAGUUUUUAUAAAUAGAAAGGAAGAGGGGGUUGGAGAUCUCAAAUGUGGUGAUGUUGGAGAGACCAAUAGAUUGUGAAGAUGUUGCAUAUGAGCAUGGAGAUAACAAAGUGGCUAUGAAAUAAAUUCCGUGCUCAUUAAUGUUAUCUUCGUCUCCAUUCUGAAUGUUCGGAGUUUCUCCUGGAUUAGUCUCGCCUAUGUCCUCUUUUGUAGUUGGAUGAAUCUCAUCUUCAAAGGGAGUCAAGAACUCACCAUUUGAAAUUGAGCCAAAGUCAGAAUCAAUUAAGGCUUCUUCCUUGUCCAUCCAUUAUACACAUUCUAGCCAUUUAGAACUUGUGAUCAGGAAAGGGGAGGUGUUAGAAUUUUCUAUAUGGCUUAGCUCUCCUUCUAUGACAUUACUUGACAUGUCAUCCUCAUAGUCUUUAUGACUCCUAUGGUUUGAUCGUCUUGAUGGGUUGCUAGGAUCAUCAUGAGACUGAAAAGGAGAGAGAUAAGAGGGAUCUCUAAGGUCAAGGAUGGAUUUAGAACUUGUGAACAUGGAAGGGGAGGAGAUAGAAUUGUCUAUAUGGCUUAGCUCUCCUUCACUUGAUAUCUCAUCCUCGACUUCUUCAUAACAGGAACCAAGACAUUCUCUAAGAGAACCAUUAUUGCAAGCAUUUGAAUUAUCCCUGCUUGAAGGUCUCUUAUGGAACCAGAAGUCUAAACCAUCAGCAUAUGAAAGAUUUAAGGUCGGGAUUCCUUCCUCCCUUGGAGAAUCUUGGGGUAUUGAUGGUUUAGGAUUGAUAGCUAAAGUUUGGGAUUGAAGUGGUUGUAAUUUGGCUAUUGAAACUUCCUCUUCUUGUCUAGGAACUGAUUCAUUCUCUUUCUCAGGGAUAUAAAUUAAUGCUAGGAGACUUUCUGCUCAUUAAACCAAUCAAAUUCCAAGCUUCACUAGCGGAUAGGCAGUGGAAGGAUCCUCCAGAGGCCGCAUUAACGGUUUGCUUAUUUUCCCUACUAAGGCCCUUAAAAAGUGAAUUAGAAGAACAUCUUUUGGAAUAGAAAGAUUUGGGCCAGUGAGAGUAAGGUCAAUAAAGCGGUCCCAUGAUUCGCUAAGAGAUUCUUCUUCUAGUUGUCUAAAGAAAGAAUCUCGAUCAGAAGAUCCACCACUUUGGAGAUCGAAAAAUAUUUAAAAAGAAAACUAUUAUAUAGCUCCUUCCAAUCUCCACGAGCACUUCCUAUGUUGAGUUUAUACCAAUGUCUAGCUUUUCCUGUUAAAGAGAACAGAAAGAGCUUCCAUUUAAGGGUCUCAUCGGACAUGCCUUCUAUGCGAAGGAGGUCACAAAUUCAUCCAAACUCUUCAAGGUGUGUGUAUAGGUUUACCUCACCUUGUCCUGAGAAAGGUUGUUUUUGAAGGAAUUCUAUGUAUUCCGGGCUUAUCUCAAAACUAGAUGUCAUGAUAGGCUUUGAAGAUUUUGGUGGUUCGAGAUGUGUGCCCGUAGGUCUAUGAAACUGAUAGAUAGACAUGUUUGCAUUCAUGAUAGACCAGAGAUCAAGGAUUAGAUAAGAAAAAAGAAUAGCAGAGAUGAGGCAAAGGAUAAAAGGAAAAAUAUAUUAUUAUUAUUAUUAUUAUUUUUAGAAAAAAGAUUAAGCUAGUUCAUAGUCAACUCAGCAACCGUCUCCCCAGCAACGGCGCCACAAAGCUUGUUGACACUUGCUAACACUACUUGAAUACUAGGUUGCUAUCCCCAGCAUGGCACUAGAGUGUACUAUGGUAUUUAUAUGCACACAGAUAAAUCUGCAAGCACAUGGAUACCGUUGUAGCUUUUUCCCGGUUAAAGGAUUUAUCAUAUCCACAGAGAAACGGGAGAACCAACUACGCUCUAACUUAACCAAGAUAGACAGGUGGGUGUAAAUAGGAAAUGUGAUAGAAUUGAAUAAGAACAAUAUUAAAGGUAAAAUGAUAAUGGGGGAAUAUAGAGUAGAGCAAUCUAAUAUAUGGGCGACAAUCGGAGAAUAGAGUGGAUAACUAGGGUUUCUCUACUUCAAAGGGGUAUGUCUGUCUGUGGUGUACCAUAAGUAUAAAACAACACAGAGGAUGCUUAUACCUAAGGCCGAGGACUCCUACCAGCCCUGCUAAGAGGAGGUGGACUAUAGAGGACUACGUAGCCGUCACCUACGUGGCCUACUGUUGAUAUUUGGGAACGCACUAAGGAAUUGAUCCGCAAGUGCACGGAUAUCGGUGAGCACUUCUCCCGGGAUGUUAUCUAGAGUAUCGUAUUUAUAUUUUUACCACUAGGAGAAAGAGUGCAUCUGACUAACCCGGUCUAUUACUACUAACCUUUGGGCUACAAAGAAUGUUUCUCGAUGUGAGCGAUGUAUAGAGAAUACUACAACCGUAAUCUCAUUCUAACCUUGGUAGGGAAGAUCUACUGUUCUGUUGGGGAGGCUCAUGGAAUCUGGACACCACAGAGAAUGUUCAACCCGCACCUAUAAACCCUAUUGAUCCUACUAACGGGAUAUGUGCUGCAAAGGUAACUUGGAAAUGUCACGUUCCUCGCUACUACCACGGUCCAGCUAGUUAGUGGAUAUCUAUGAGUAUCCUAGCCCAAACACCACAUUUAUGCUAGAGAUGAUUACUCUAAACUCUACGCGAAGAGAUCAAAGUAAACUCAUAAACCAAAGAACAAUAAAACAAGAACUUACUAGUAUUUAGAAGUUGAAAUACUGAAGAAUCCUAGGAGCAAGCUUCGGGUUAGGAGAACUCGAUCCCGCAGGUACAACCUCGGAGUAGACACCGACAGGUCGGCCUUCCUCCGAUCUACAUCUCCACUCUAUCUCUCUCAAUCUAGUAGAUCUAGUCUACUCUCACAUUGGAUGCUAAGCCAUAAGUCUAUGUAGAGGAAAGGUUAUCCUUCGAGGGCACCUCUCAACUCUAUGAUGAACUUGUUCUCCACUAGGGGCCAGGGGGUCUGCUUAUAUAGUCCCCUCAGGUGAACAUGGGCCGUCGGAUCAAACCGACAUUGAUUGAACAGUUAUCCUUGAUCCUUUAGGUUGGUGUUGCAUGAUCCGGGCUCUGAUUGGUGGAGACACCAGGGCGGGCGCCCUAGGGGGGAGGGCGGGCGCCCUGCCCCCGGGCCCGAUCGCCUUCCCGUUCGUUCCUGUGGCAUCUGGAGUCUUCUAGAUGGUAGAAAAUUGCGCGGUGCAUUAAUAUCUCUAUGUAAUCCCGACAUGUGGGCCUUUCUUCCUUAUUUACUGAUAACCCCUUGCAGAAAUAGAUAAACAACAAAACUCGUGGAAUUCUGUCAAAUCAAACCCUAAUUCUAGGUGUUAUUUGUAUAUUGGUCCUUCUCCUUGUUUAUUUGAUAAUUAAAAUUAAUACUUAAGAAAGGUCAACAAAGACCCCUAUACUUAGGCUUUUACUCGUCCUCGAGAAAAGGAUGGUUAAGAAAAAUAUCUGGGGUUAAAACAUUGUAAAGCAUUUUCUUCAUACCUGCAGGGUGUUGUAAAAAUUUCACUGUGUACCGUAGUCAGAGAAAUAUAUGGUCAAGAGUAGAGGUCCUUUCCUCUUAAUCGGUCACUUGGAGUUUUUGUAUAUUUUUUAAAAAGAAAUUUAGCAUACCUUUGUCCUCAUAGGUUCUCUCAGGUUACUCAUUAUCUUUUAUAUAUCUCACUAAGGCUGUUUUAAUUUGCAAAUUCUCAAGCAUAAUUACCUUGUAUUUAUUGCCUGAUCAAAACGGGAUCCGAGGAGAGGAAUGUCAUACUCUUAGAUCAAAGAUUUUGGAAAUUAAAAACUUGUCAACUCUUACUGGCAUAUUGCUUAUUAGAGGGACCAUGGGCUAUCAUUUUCUUCUCUUUUUCUCUCUUUUUUUUCAGGUGGAUACUGAGGUACCCCUAAUUCUACUACCGGACACUUGUCCAUUUUUUUCUGCGAGGUUGUCGAGCACUUGCUCCUUUUUAUUUCCUCGAAAUUUCAUUAUUUUUGCAUAGCCCAUGCCUCUAACGCAAUAAUACUUCGGAAGAGUGAAUCUUUCUGAAUAAAUGUCUUGAUCUUAGGAGCAUGAUAAAUCUCUCAACAAGGGUCUAACUCAUUUUGAACAAACUCAAUACAAAGCAGAUAGCUUUUAUAAUUAUUAUAAUUAAUAGGUUUAUCAGGCAUAUAAAACACUGACGAAGGUAGCUAGAAUUUUUGAAAUAAAUUCUCCAAGUAAUAGCGAUAUCAAGAAUAAGAUACUCAUACUCUACCAUCUCACAUUCCACAAUGACUUAAGUAACAAAGGGUUUUAAAAUGAUUUUUCAAUAAUUGCAGGUUUACAGAAAAUAUCAGAGAGUGAGAUUAAUCAUGAUUAGAAACAUUUUAAUCUUUUUAAUUUAUCAUGUUGGAGACAAUAUUCUGCAUAAUCCAAGAUAUAUGUGUAUGUGUAAAGUGUGCAGAGUAUGUACCUGAAUCGUGGAGUGGUGUAGUCGAAGUAUGUUUGGCGUGUCGAGGGAUCUCCCACAUACUUGUUUUCUGCUUUCUUGCAUAAAAAUAAAGUAGAGACACACAAGACAUAAUAAUAAUAAUAAUAAUAAUAAUAAUAAUAAUAAUAAUAAUAAUAAUAAUAAUAAUAAUAAUAAUAAUAAUAAUAAUAAUAAUAAUAAUAAUAAUAAUAAUAAUAAUAAUAAUAAUAAUAAUAAUAAUAAUACUCUUUAUUAAUCUUGAGGCAUUUAUUACAAAUGACUAGUAAUGAAUUGAAGCUAAUAAUAGAUUUAAACCAAAUUUAAAGAUAAAUAACUAAGAUGCGUUACCUCAAGAUCUAAUCUAGAUAACUUAGCAGCGCUCUAACUCCCUGAUCUUCUUAUUGGCACUAGCAAGAUCAUGCCUAAUACCUAGUAUAAUGGUAUUCUGGAUAGAGAGUUGCCUAGUGAUAGAGUUAACCGAGGACUGGAGCUCUAUGAUGAUCCUGUCUAGCCUACGAACGUCCUCAUCAAUAUCUAUUAUAGUCUUGCAACACUUAGGAGGUGUCUCAAGAGCGUUGAGAGCGUGCUUCGGGGCUGCCUUUGGAGGGAUGAAACGGACUUUGGCUGCUCUAACCCCCUCAAAGUAAGGCCUCUCUUCCUCUGUUGUGUAGCGGAUGCUGCAGAUCUCGCCACUCCGGUUGGUCUUGACUCCAACGACCCUCUCAUUGUGUCUGGGUGGUAGGAUCCUUGUGCCGGCUGGCACCUUAACGGUGGCCUCCUUCUUGGCUAACGGUCCUUUGAGAAGUAGGGGCUGCGGUGGUGCGGUGAGAACUGGUUGAGCAUGGUACGAUUGGGUGGAGUUGCGCUGGCGUAAUGACAUGGCUUCAAGCUGUCGCUCUGUGUUGGCCAGGACGAGAGCGUAGGUGUCGGGGUCUUCCUUGGGCUUCUUGUUGAGAUCGUAGGGGAUGACUUCCCAAUCGUCGUGGAACUCUUUGGCCAUUGGAGCAGUGAGGGACUAAGCAAGCUCUAAUUGAAGAAGGAGAGAAGGCUUGAAUAGAUUGGUGUUUGAAAACUGACGUCAGGGGUCUGUUUAUAUAGGGGGUCAAAAAGUGCCUCUAGGGUUUGCUCGGGCUACUCCCGCCGCCGUGCGUGCGAAACUUUCCAUCUGUAUGAUUAUUUAGUUUACCAUAAAUGUGUUUAUCAUGACGGAGGAAAUCAGGACUGAGAGGGGACAGGGGCUGGGCGCCCGCCCUUAUCAUCAGGGCGCCCGCCCUGUGCCUGGCCCCUCCAUGGGCCCGCUUCCUCGAGCGUGCUUCUAGAUGCAGAAUUUAUUCGGAAAAUAUAUGUGUGGCCCAAAAGCAUCAGAUUAAACAGGUUGGGCGCUAAAUCUCCAUGGGAAGGUAGAAAUGGAUCACGUCUAUCUCUUCUAAUUCUUUAUUGGGCUCUAAAAAUAAUUUAAGACGUUGCCAUUUACCUUGAAUAACAUACCUUCAUCAUUUUGAAGUGUGAUAGCUCCGUAGGAUGAUGAAUAGAUUACCUUGAAUGGUCCUUCCCAUUUACUCCAGAGUUUUCCAUGCCCGAAAAGCUUCACCCUGGAAUUAGAAAGUAAUACCUUAUCUCUAGGUGUGAACUCCUUCUUCUUGAUCCUCUUGUCAUGCCACCUUUUGACUCUUUCUUUAUAGAUCUUCGAGUUGUGAUAUGCUUUCUCUUGCCAUUCUUCCAAUUCUGAUAGUUGCAUUAUUCUAUGAUCUCAAGCGACAUCUAGGUCCAUAUUCCAUCUCCUUAUGGCCCAGUGUGCUUUGAAUUCUAGUUCAACAGGUAGGUGGCAAGUCUUCCUGUACACCAAUUGGUAUGGGGACAUUCCAAUUGGGGUCUUGUAUGUUGUCCGGUAUGCCCAGAGUGCAUCGGGUAACUUGUCCUUCCAUGCCGUUCCCAUUUCAUUCACUGUCUUCUAAAGAAUAUUCUUGAUUUGCUUGUUGGAAGUCUCUGCUUGGCCACUUGUCUGAGGAUGGUAAGGGGUAGCGACGUUGUGACGGAUUCCAUGUUUUCAUAGUUAUUGCUUGAAGCGUUUGUCGAUGAAGUGUGCUCCUCCAUCACUUAUCACUACUCUGGGGACUCCAAAUCUUGGAAAUAUAACUUCUUCAAACAUCCUCUUUGAACUGAUGUAGUCAGCAUGCUUGCAAGGUAAUGCCUCUACCCACUUGGAGAUGUAGUCAACUGCCACCAAGAUGAACUCACACUGCUUUGAUGGGGGUAAUGGACCCAUGUAAUCUAUUCCCCAGACAUCAAAGAGCUCAAUCUGAAGGUUAUUGGUGAGUGGCAUGACAUCUCUUGUGUUUAUGUUUCUGUGCCUUUGACAUGUCCCACAUCUUCUCAUAUAUUGCUUCGUGUCUUCAUGCAUUGUAGGCCAGUAGAAUCCACACUGCUAGAUCUUUGAAUGUAUAUGGAAUGCUCCAUAAUGACCUCCAUAUGGUGAUGAAUGACACAUGUCGAUGAUCUUCCAUCCUUCCUCGGUGGUCACACAUCUCCUGAGUAAGCCAUCAGAGCAUACUCGGAAGAGGUAUGGCUCAUCCCAUAUAUGUGAACGACUUUCUUGAAUAAACUUCUUCUUGUUUGCUCCUGGUGGUACAUACCUGAAACCAUAAAAUUAACAAUAUUUACAUACCAGAGGUCAGACCUGUUAAUCCCGUAUAGCAUGUCAUCCCGGAGUGAAUAAUUGAUGGGGGUUUCCUGUGGAUUCUGAAAAUACAUUCUAGACAAGUGAUCAGCAACAGAAUUUUCUACUCUCUUUUUCUGGAAGUAAUAAGAUCCAUCUAAUCAGGCGAGGUUUAGCAUCUUUCUUAGUGAGCAGAUAUUUUAGUGCAGCAUGAUCAGUGUAAACAAUUAUUUUAGCUCCAACUAAAUAAGAUCUAAAUUUAUCAAUGGCAAAGACAACAGCCAGAAGCUCUGUCAAAGUUUUACUGGCAUAAGCAAUUGCAUGAUGCUUCCUAUUUUUAGUUUGUCCCAAAACUGCCCCCACAACAUAAUCACUAGCAUCACACAUAAUUUCAAAAGGCAACAACCAAUCAGGGGGUUGAAUGAUUGGUGCAGAGAUGAGUGCAUUCUUUAAUAAAUUGAAAGAUGUUAGGCAUGCAUCAUCAAAUUCGAAAGGAGCAUCCUUGGCUAGCAAAAGAGUAAGUGGUCUAGCAAUAAAUGAAAAAUCUUUUAUGAAUCUGCGAUAAAAACCAGCAUGGCCAAGAAAGCUUCGAAUUCCUUUUAUGUUCACAGGUGGAGGUAGUUGUUCAAUUACUUCAAUUUUAGCUGUGUCUACCUCAAUACCUCUUUCAGACACUAGGUGUCCCAGCACUAUUCCUUCCCUAACCAUAAAAUGACAUUUUUCCCAAUUAAGGACUAAGUGCUUUUCUUCACAUCUUUGCAAAACCUUGUCUAAGUUUUCAAGACAACUAUCAAAAGUUUUUCCAUAUACAGAGAAAUCAUCCAUGAAAACUUCCAUAAUCUCUUCAAUCAUAUCAAAAAAUAUAGACAUCAUGCAUCUUUGAAAAGAAGCUGGUGCAUUACAUAACCCAAAAGACAUUCUACGGUAAGCAUAAGUUCCAUAUGGGCAUGUAAAAGUGGUUUUGCUUUGAUCAUUAGGAUGGAUCGGGAUCUGGUGAUACCCUGAAUAUCCAUCUAAGAAUCAGAAGAACGAAUGGUUUGCUAAUCGCUCUAGCAUCUCAUCUAUGAAAGGUAAAGGAAAAUGAUCCUUCUCGUGGCUUUGUUUAGUUUUCUAUAGUCUAUGCAUAUCCGUCGCCCUGUGAUGGUGCGUUGCGGAAUUAGCUCGUUCUUUUCAUUCAUAACGACAGUCAUGCCUCCCAUUUUUGGCACAACUUCAACUGGGCUCACCCACUCAUUGUGCGGAACAUGAUAUAUAAUCCCUGCAUGCAUCAACUUUAUAACUUCCUUUUUAACUACCUCUGUCAUCGCGUUGUUAAGUCUACGUUGGGGCUCUCGAGAAGGUGAAACAGAAGGAUCUGUUGGAAUACGAUGUGUACAAAUCAUAGGACUGAUUCCUGUAAGAUCUUGGAGUGAGUAGCCGAAAACUGAGUGAUGUUUCCCAAGAAUGGUCAUCAAUUGCAGAGUUUGCUCCUGAGUGAGUUUAUCACUAAUGAUAAUAGGAAACUCUGGAUUAUUGUAUAGGAAAGCAUAGAUAAGACCAGGUGGUAAAGUUUUAAGCUCUAUGGGGGGUCUAGGUGUUUCUGCAAACUCAUCUAAGGGUUCAGGUUCAGAAGGUUCAGCUUCUUCUUCUAUGAAGAAAGGAGCUUCGUCUUCUAAGUCUUGUUCAUCUAAAAGCUCUAGAGAUGCAGCCUUUACCUCCUCCAUAGGAUCAGGCAAAAGAUAUGACUCAGCCUUAUUAUUUAAGGAGUGUGAAAUUGUUAUUGGAAAUUUAAAGGUUUUUCCAAAAUAAAUGUGUAGCCUUCCAGUAUGACCUUCAUAAAGGAGUCUUCUAAAAGGUUGUCCUAUCAACAGGUCGAAGUCCCAUGUAUCAAAGAUAUAAAAGUUCAAAUGAACCAUGGAGCCUUCUACCAUAAGGGGUAGGACAUUAAUAAUUCCAAGACUGAGGACUAAUCGUCCCGAAGAUUCCUUUAUGACCUUUGUUGUGGGGGUUAAGACCAAAUUUUUAAAUAAUUUAAAUGCAAAAGAUUCAGACAUGAUGUUGAUCCCUACAACACGAUUAUAGACAACAUCAAAUUGAUCAGAAUCAUAAGCACAACGUAUAGUUAUAGGAGGUGUGUCCAAACGGAUCACAUAAGAGGAAAGCUCUGACUCCUCCAACCAUUCGCUACUCAUGAAUGCGAUAAGCUCUCUCAAUUGAUGUUCAGUUGGCAAAAAAAUGCUAAAAUGGCCAUUUUGGGGUCUGUUAACAGAAUGGUAGUUUGAAAUGUUUCCAAAAUCGGCAAAAAGAUCAGAUUCUAUAUCCAACAUGAAAUCAGGUGGUGGAAUUUCUUCCUUUUGUGGCUCAGAACUUGGGAUAGCUAAAGUAGAUGGAGAAUUUGGCAGAGUGUCUACUUCGGCUUCGUGGGUUUCAUCAUGAAGGGUAUUAUCCAUCUCAGCUUCUAGGAUUCUAUCUAGGAUCGCUCUAGCGUCAUCAGUAAGGAUGCGAAAGAAAGAACCUCUAGACAUUGUAUGUAGCAUUUGUUUAUGACCUUUCUGAAGCCCUCAAAAAAAGUGAAAUAAAAGAACAGCGUCUUCAAGAUUAAGGUUUGGACCAGAUUCUAAAAGAUCAGAACAACGUUUCCAAGAUUUUCCGAAAGUUUCAUUAUCUUUUUGUUUAAAAGAUAGGACUUCGAGUCUAAGGUCGCUGAUACGGUCGAGGGAAUAAAAAUCUAGACAAAAGUUGGCUCGUAAAACUCCCCAUUCACCUCAUUGUUGACUUACCUUCUGAUUAUACCAUUGUCUAGCUUCUCCCCUUAAAGAAAAAGGAAAAAGCUUCCAACGUAAAGUUUUAUCAGAAAUGCCUUCAAUGCGAAGACAAUCACAUGUUUGCUCAAAAUCUCUAAUAUGAAAGGGUUUUCGUCUUCCUUUCCUGAGAAAGAUAGGUUUUGAAUCAUGGCAAACAACUUAGAACUUAACCUAUACUAGGAUGUUUGGAUAGGCUGUGAUGACUCCCAUGAUAAAAGGUCAGUUUCCGAAGGUGUUGCGAAUUGAUAGAUCGAUUUAGAAUCUUGGUUUUCCAUAAGGUAAGAGUAAAGAAAAUAAAGGAUAUAAAAAGAAAACAAAAUAUAAAAUUAUAGAUACAAGCUAGUAGUAAGACUCAAGGUUAUCUCAGCAAACCGUCUUUGUCCCCGGCAACGGCGCCAGAAAUGCUUGUUGAUAUUUGGGAACGCAAUAAGGAAUUGAUCCGCAAGCGCACGAUUAUCGGUGAGCACUUCACCCGUGAUGUUAUCCAGAGUAUCAUAUUUAUAUUUUUACCACUAGGAGAAAGAGUGCAUCUGACUAACCAGGUCUAUUACUACUAACCUUUAGGCUAGAAAGAAUAUUUCUCGAUGUGAACGAUGUAUAGAGAACACUACAACCGUAAUCUCGUUCUAACCUUGGUAAGGAAGAUCUACUGUUCUCUUGGGGAGGCUCACAGAAUCUAGACAACACAGAGGAUGUUCAACCCGCACCUAUAAACCCUAUCAAUCCUACUAACGGGAUAUGGGCUGCAAAGGUAACUCAGAAAUGUCACGUUCCUCGCUGCUACCACGGUCAAGCUAGUUAGGGGAUAUAUAUGAGUAUCCUAGCCCAAACACCACAUUUAUGCUAGAGAUGAUUACUAUAAACUCUAUGCGAAGAGAUCAAAGUAAACUCAUAAACCAAAGAACAAUAAAACAAGAACUUACUAGUAUUUAGAAGUCGAAAUACUGAAGAAUCCUAGGAGCAAGCUUCAGGUUAGGAGAACAUGAUCCCGCAGGUACAACCUCAGAGUAGACACCGACAGGCCGGGCUUCCUCUGAUCUACACCUCCACUCUAUCUCUCUCAGUCUAGUAGAUCUAGUCUACUCUCACAUUGGAUGCUAAGCCCUAAGUCUAUGUAGAGGAAAGGUUAUCCUUCGAGGGCACCUCUCAACUCUAUGAUGAACUUGUUCUCCUCCAGGGGCCAGGGGGUCUACUUAUAUAGUCUCCUCAGGUGAACAUGGGCUGUUGGAUCAAACUGACAUUGAUUGAACGGUUAUCCUUGAUCCUUUAGGUCGGUGGAGCAUGAUCCGUGAAGUUGGCUCUAAUUGGUGGAGGCACCAGGGCGGGCGCCAUAGGGGGGAGGGUGGGCGCCCUGCCCCUGGGCCCGAUCGCCUUCCCGUUCGUUCUCAUGGCUUCUGGAGUCUUCUACAUGGUAGAAAAUUGCACGGUGCGUUAAUAUCUCUAUGUAAUCCCGACAUGUGGGCCUUUCUUCCUUAUUUCAUGAUAACCCCCUGCAGAAAUAGAUAAACAACAAAACUCAUGGAAUUCUAUCAAAUCAAACCCUAAUUCUAGGUGUUGUUUGUAUAUUGGUCCUUCUCCUUGUUUAUUUGAUAAUGAAAAUUGAUACUUAAGUACCGUCAACACCUACCACGUGAUCCGGCUAACAGGGGAUAUCCACAAGUAAUCUAGGUCUAAGCACCACGCUUACACCUAUACUACAACUCUCACCUAUUGCGUCCUAUAGAUUAAAGUACUCAAAAGAGUUGUGAACCAGAACAUACAUGGAUAGUAAUUGCAUAAUGAAAUAAGAAGUAGAUUACCAGAGUUAUCCCAUGAGCAAGCUUGAUUAGAGCUUGAUCAUAGCAAAGUACAGCCAGAGGAAGAACCGACAGGCCAGCCUAUCCUCCAAUCCUCCCUCGCUCUCCAUCUCGCUACUAUCUAGAUCUACUCUAUGUUAGAGAUGAGAGGAGAGCUCUCAUCUCCAAACCCUAGCUUUUGCUCUAUCUAUGAAUAAUGAAUAAGGAUUCAGAGGUGUCUCCUCCAGGGGCCAGGGGGCCUGCAUAUAUAGCCCCUCAAAAUGAAUGUGGGUCGUCUGAUCAAUCCGACCUUAAUCGCAUGGUUUUUCUUAAACCCUUAGGUCGGUGGAUCAUGAUCCGCGAGGCAGGGCCUGAUUGGCCAAGACACCUGGGCGGGCGCCCAAAGGGGGAGGGCGGACGCCCAGUCCCUAGGCCCGCUCGGCCUCCCGUUCAUUCCUGUGGCUUCUGGAGUCUUCUAGUUGAUAGAAAAUUGGCGCACACGUUAAUAUCUCUAUGUAAACCCGACAUGUGGGCCUUUCCUCCAUAUUUCCUGAUAACCCCUUGUAGAAAUAGACAAACACCAAAACUCGUGGAAUUAUGUUAGAUAAAACCCUAAGUCCAGGUGUUGGAUGCAUUUGGAUCCUUUUCUUUAUUUAUUUGAUGAUUAUAGUUGGUACUUAGGGACCGUCAACAGUUGUCAAUAUCUUCAUCAAGUGAGGUGAACAUCCAGGGAUCUCCGGUCAUAUGUUGAGUGCAACCACUAUCAAUUACCCAAUGUGAUCCACCGAUCUUGUAGUUCACCUACACACAAGAGAUCAAGCUUGAGAUUUAGGGACCCACAUUUGCUUAGGGCCCUUUACCUUCUCUACUAGUUGCUUUGGCACCCAAAUCUUCUUUGACCUUUGCUUGUUGGACGGCCCCAUGAAACUAACCUGGACCAUGCCACUCUUGUCUUUCCUUAUAAUGUAGUGAGCAUUGAAGGCCAAUGGUCUAGCAUGCUUGGGCAAGGGUGGUGGUAGUGGUGCCUCGCACUCAUGAGCAAAGUGUCCUUCUUGUCCACACUCAAAACACCUCUUUGGCUUUGGCUUGCUUGAGUGAUCAUGAGUGGCUUGUGAUUUGAUGAGCUUUGUUUGAUGAGCCUUGUAGCCAAUCCCACGUUUGUCCAUCUUUAUGAUGGUGUUCAUGAAUAGCUUGCUUUGAAGGUCCUUUCCUUUUGUGAACUUUGCUAGCCCCUUGGUUAGAUGUUCCUUCUCUUUCUUGAGCUUGCUAUUCUCUUGAGUUAGCUUCUUGAUGAUUGGGUCAUUGUUGCUUGCUAACUCUUCUAAGAUGAAUGACUCAUCUUCUUCUUGCUUGUCAUACAUCAAACCAAGCUUGAGAUAUUGAUUCUCUUCUUUGAGCAACUUGUUCUCAUAUGGAAGCUUCUUGUCUUGAUCAAGUGACUCAAUCACUAUUGUGUUGUGCUUGGUUUGCUCUUGCAACUCUUUCUUGAGCAUGACAUUUUCUUCCUUGAGCUUGAUAGUGUCCUCAUAGCUCUCGGCCUCUACCACUUUCUUGCCCUUGCAAUCAACACAUUUGCUUGUGCUCUCCACAAGUAAGUCAUCACAAGAUGUGGCUACAUCAAGCUUAACAACAUGGUUAGUAGCAUCAUGUGUUUCAUUGAUUGCAAUAUCAUAAGCUAUCUCAAGGUUGUCAUAGUUUGCUUUUAGAGUUGUUAGCUCUUCCUUCAAAGCUCUAUGUCUAGUGAUAAGCUCAUCAUGCACACUCUCUAGUUUAUCAUGUUUUUCUUUGAGCUCUUUUAGAGAAAGUUUGAGCUCCUUGAGCUUAGUGGUCAUGAUCUCAUUUUGAUCUCUAAGCUCAUUAAUCACUAGAUUUAAGCUUUGCUAGAAGUGAUUCAUUUUCAAGUUCAAGCUUUUCAUUUUCACUUCUAGUUUUUCUUAUGACCUUAGUGUAUUUGUUUAUCAAUUUUACAAGUUUGUCAUAAGAUGGUCAUUCAAAUUCACUAUCAAUUUCACUACUCUCAUCCUCACUUUGUACCUUCCGGUCACCCUUGGCCAUGAGGCAUAGGUGUGUAGAGGAUGUAGAUGGUGGUGAAAAUGAUGGUGAUGAAGCAUCAAUGGCAAUGGCGGCAACCUUCUCAUCGUCACUUUCAUUACCGAAGGAGUCACCACUUGUGCUUUCAAUGUCGGUGAGCCAAUCACCAACAAUGUAAGCCUUGCCAUUCUUCUUCUUAUGGUACUCCUUCUUGCCACCUUUCUUCUUGUAUUGCUUCUUGUCGUUCUUCUCUUCAUCACUUGAGUCAUCAUGCUCUUUGUUCUUCUUCUUGUAUUUGUCCUUCUUGGGAUUUGGACAUUGGUGAGCAAGAUGACCAAGAUCACCACAAUUGUAGCAAUCCAUCUCGGAGAUGGGAUUUAUCUUGCUACUUGUGAAGAAUUUCUUCUUCUUGGAGUCAAAGUUGACUCCAUUCUUGUUGAUGACUCAACUUCAAUCUUCUUGGCUUUGCCCUUGUGAUAAGCUUUGAGGGCCAAGUCCUUCUUUUCCUUCUUGGCCGAUGAGGAGACAUCUUGGUGGUUCAUGUGCAUGUACAUCUCAUGAGCAUUGAUCUCCCCCAAUAUGGACGUUGGUGUAGCGGUGGAGAGAUUGCCUUGAUGAAACACUGUUACUAUGUGCCCAUAUUUCUCAAUGGGGAGAACACAUAGUAUCUUUCUUGUCACAUCCGCCGCACUCAUUUGAUUGAGCCCAAGUCCAUUUAGCUCUUCUACAAUGACAUUCAAGCGAGAAUACAUUUCAUUAGCAUUUUCUUUUGGAAGAAUUUCAAAUGUAUUAAGCUUGUUCAUCACAAGAUGAAAGCGUUCCUCACGCUCACUCUUGGAUACCUCAUGGAGCGCACAAAGUUCCUUCCAUAGAGCAUUGGCGGUUUUGUGGUUCCGAACGCGGUUGAACACUUCUUUGCAAAGACCUCGAAAGAUGUGGUUUUUGGCCUUUGCAUUCCACUUCUCAUUUUCUUGCUCUUGUGGAGUAAGAGCGGCGUCUUUUGUCGGAGGGGUUGUUGAUGGUCCUUAAGUAUCAAAUUUAAUCAUCAAAUAAAUAAAGAAAAGGAUCCAAAUGUAACCAACACCCAGACUUAGGGUUUUAUCUGAUAGAAUUCCAUGAGUUUUGGUGUUUGUCUAUUUCUGUAGGGGGUUAUUAGGAAAUAUGGAGGAAAAGUGCACACGUCGGGUUUACAUAGAGAUAUUAACGUGUGCGCCAAUUUUCUACCAUCUAGAAGAGUCCAUAAGCCACGGGAACGAACGGGAGGCCGAGUGGGCCCGGGGAUAGGGCGCCCGCCCUCCCCCCUUGGGUGCCCGCCCAGGUGUCUUGGCCAAUCAGGCCCUGCCUCGUGGACCAUGCUCCACCGACCUAAUGGAUUAAGGAAAACCGUGCGAUUAAGGUCGGUUUGAUCCGACGGCCCACGUUCAUUUGGAAGGGCUAUAUAAGCAUGCCCCCUAGCCCCUAGAGGAGACACCUCUGAAGCCUUAUUCAUUAUUCAUAGACAGAGAAAAAGCUAGGGUUUGGAGAUGAGAGCUCUCCUCUCAUCUAUAAACUAGAGUAGAUCUAGAUAGUAGCGAGAUGGAGAGCGAGGGAGGAUUGGAGGAGAGGCCGGCCUGUCGGUUCUUCCUCUGGUUGUACUUCACCAUGAUCAAGCUCUAAUCAAGCUUGCUCAUGGGAUGACUCUCCUAAUCUAUUUCUUAUUUCAUUUUCAAUUACUAUCGACGUAUGUUCUGGUUCACAAGUCUUUUGAAUACUUUAAUCUAUAGAAUGCUAUAGGUGAGAGUUGUAGUAUAGGUGUAAGCGUGGUGCUUAGACCUAGAUUACUUGUGGAUAUCCCCUGUUAGCCGGAUCGCAUGGUAGGCUACUGUUGGCGGUUCUUAAUGACAUAUUUACCCCACCAACAUAGUCCAUGCAAAGGAAGAAAAGCAUGUAUUUUACUCACAUAUACUUAUUAAAUGCUUACCAAGUUCCACAUGUAGUGCAAGUUGUGUUUUGCAGAUCAUAUACAGGCAUACAGGUGGAAAGCAAAUAAAAAGGCGCAAUCCGACACGUCUAAAAAAUGCGCAAAUAAACAAGUACCCAAAAGCCCAAUAUAGAAGUGCAUCAAUUUGCAGGUGGAUCUAGACUCAAGGGCACGAGAGGAAGGCAACGGGCUUCGGGCCGGGGCUAGAGGGGCCCACCAGGGGGCGGCCGCCCCCUAGGGUCGGCCGACCCUGACCCAGCCCAUCUCGGCACCGCCUUUCGCAGAGGCGGUGUUGAGCCUAUCCUCCCGCAGUCCCCGCGUGCAAAUUGUAGUUUACACCCUAGGGAACCGACCUUCCCCACCUAUUUAAGGAGGGGGAGAGGGAGGCUCCAUUCACCUCAUCACAUUCACAAUCAACACUCCACCUUCAAGGCACUUGGGCACUACCUCUUCUUAGUUUUCCUUUUAGCUUUUAGAGAGAGAGUUGGGUGAGCUAUCAAGGAGGGAUUGGCUCCUUGGAGAGAAACUUGGGUAUGAAUAAAGAAUAUCUUUACUCCAAGUCCAUGCCUUAUCAUGUCCGAUAUAGUUCUUCAUAUGAACUAGAGUAUAGUUCUUAUGCUAUGUUAUAUGAUAUAGAUCAUAGGCCAUGUUUUAUGAUGCCAGCAUAUGAACUAGAAUAUAGUUCUAGUGAAAAUGAUAUGACAUACAUUUUAGUAUAUAGUUCUUAUAGUAUAAUGCUACCCUAGGGCUAGUAGUGUAUUAUAUGAACUAGUGCUAAGUGUAUGUUGUAUUAUUCUCACUUAGGACUUUAGUCUAAUUGCUUCAUGUUAAUUAAUUGCCCAGAAAAACCUUUGUGUGAAGAUGGGGGUUUAUCAUGCUCUUUUGAGUAGGCUCGGGCUUCUCACCUGUCGAUACGUAGGGUCGGGGACCCGGGGGAGUCCGAGUAGGUUCUUUGCAUGUAAGCAUGGUGCUUGGGUGUAAAGGCCGGGUAAAUGCAUUGUCCUAGUCCACGGUUGAGGGGAUGGCGGCAGGUGGUGACAGCCCUAUCCGUCCUUGGCAUUCCCCCACGUUCGGCUAGGGUGUAGGAGUCUAAAUAGUUGCGGAGGUUGCUGGCAGACCAGUACUCGCGUAACCGCCCAAACCAUCUAAACACAGGACUAGAUCUAAGUAGUAUAAUUACAUGAUUAACUUGUUCUAUGACAUGAUCUGUAUCUAGGACCACACCUGCUCCAAUAGGUUGUUUGUUUAUUCUUUGAUUCAAUUCAUUCUUUUAGUCUCUUUUUAUUCCUUAGCCCAUAUGCCAUGCCUAGAUUGUGAUGGAUCACUAUUCUACAUAUAAAUGUUUAUCACCUGCUAUGACUUUUGAUUCCAUUAUUGCUAUCAUAAUUACAUUGAUCUAUGCUUAUCUUAGAAUCCUUAACAUAUUGAGCCUUCCUUAGAGUGAACCUAUAAAUACGACACUCGGUAAAUCCCCGGGUUGAAAUGCUACACGAUAAUUGUUGGGUAUUCUUAACAUCAUUACCAAAAGUAGACUAAGUUCUAAAUCUAGCAACGGUGCCAAAAAUGCCAAACCUAUCCCUCACACCACUUAAGCCAAGUUGUCAUCCCCAGCAUGAUAUGAGAGACGCGGUAUUGAAAUAUGCAAUUGCUCUUCUAAAUAAAUAAUGAAUGGGAUCUGCAAGCGCACAGAUUAAUACCGAUGUAGCAUUUUAACCGGGAAGUAUUCCAGGUAUCGUUAUUUAUAUUUUUACCACUGGGAAGGGAUUAGAAAUCAUCACUAAUGAUUACAGAAUAGAAUAUGAGAUUGAGCAUCUAUCAUUGCAUGUAUAAUUGAGAACAUUAUAUCUAACUCUUCAUACAGGGAUAAGUGUCACAUAAAAGAUAUAUGAAAUAAUAAUAGUGACAAGGAUAACUAAUCUGAUCUAGCCACAUAAUAAAUAUGAUAAGCACCUCAAUUAGAUACUCUAGAAAGUCAUUAGCAUGGUAUUAGAACGAACUACAAGAAUAUUCCCUAAGUUAUUCUUAACUAUAUAGUCUAGCAUUAUCAUAAUUAGUGCAAGCAUACUUAGCAAUCAUUGCAAGACAAGACUACGCCCAUGCAUAGUGAUAUUAGCAAGGAAUAUGAGAAACAUAGCAAUCACUCCCCUGUAAUAAUGUUGCUCUGCCAGCCCAAUACACGAGAGGGGGACUAUAUAAGAAUCAAUGAAGCUGUCACUAUCACGAACCACCCCACGAUCUGGCAUAUUGGGUACAAUCGCAGAUAAAUACGGUAUAAGCACCACGCCUACACAAUAUCUAUCAUUUACCCAUGGAUCCGAUGGAUAAACGCUAUACGAUCCUAAGCAUGUAUAUAGAUCGUAUCUAACUAAGCCAAGUACAUAACUAUGAUAAACUAACAACAAUAUAAUCUUGUAUAUAAGCAAGUAGAGCAAAGUCAUAAGCAAUAUAUUGAAGUAGAACAAAGUCAUAUUCAUAAUAUUGAAGAACAAAGAUAAUUAGAAAGCAAUUAGAAGCACAAUUAGAGAAUUACCAAGAAUCCUCCUGACAGAUCCGGAAACCAAUCAAAGAUUGACUCCUUCUAGUUCUAAUCCUAUGUAGCUAUGCUAAUCUAGAUAUCUAAUUGAUGUGGUGGCUCUAAUCUUGAUCAGAGGCUUCUUCUCCCUUGAUGGAACAAUGAAUUAGGGUUGAGAGGCUCUCCCCUCCAGGGGCCAGGGGGUCUGGUUUUAUAGUCCCUCCAAGUGAGUAUGGGCCCUUGGAUCAAACCGACAUAGAUUGUAUGGUUUAGAUUCAUCCUUUAGGUCGGUGGAGAUCUCCCGCAAAGCAGAGUCCUGAUUGGACACAGGGGCAGGGCGGGCGCCCUGUCUCUGGCCCUAUUUCGCCUCCGCUUCGGUCUCGUGGCUUCUGGAGUCUUCUAGAUGUAAGAUAAUUGCAUAGCACGUUAAUAUCUUUACGUAAUCCUGACAUGUGGGCCUUUCUUCCAUAUUUCCUGAUAACCCCCUGCAGAAAUAGACAAACACCAAAACUCGUGGAAUUCUGUCAGAUAAAACACUAAGUCUAGAUCUUGAUUUCAUUUGGAUCCUUUUCUUUAUUUAUUUGAUAAUUAAAUUUGAUACUUGAGGACCGUCAACAAACUCCCCCAAGCUUACCUCUUGCUCGUCCCUGAGCAAGGAUAGACUCAGCUAUGGAUCAUAAGUAGUUGCAAUAUCUUUAAAAAAUUUGACGGUUCACAUGCUUUUAAAUAAGAUCUCAUCUCUGAGUUAGAGUAAACUGUCAAGACUUAAAACUUACUUACUUUACCUUCACCAUGGGACUUGUAACUGUCACUUCUGUCUUGAGUGGUUAAAAGAUAGAACAGUCUAGUCAAGUGCCAUGUCUCUUAUUCUUGAUCAGCUAUAGCUCUGGGGUUUUUGCAGAUUUUUAAAUAAAACUCAGAGUUUCCUUGUAUGAUUCUCUCAGGUCUCUCUUUUGUGGUAUUUUUGGAUCCUUACCACGGCAGUGAUGGUAUAUGCCUUCUCUCAAGAUAUGUAGUAUUUGUGGUAUAAAGCAUAAUGACAUUGCCUUCUCUCUCAUCCUACUCUAAUAAGGCUUUAAUAUGUGGAGCUCAUAGGUGGGAGAUAAAGUAUACAUACUUAUAAGACAUUUAUUGCAUAGUCAAACCAUGGAUCCAAAGUAACAAGUCAAUAAGCCAAAUCAAGAUGUGCAUGUGUGGCGAAUGAAAGGUGUAUGGUGAUGAUGGUGAUAACAAUGGUGAAAACAAUGGUGGUGGAAGUCUAAUUCUACUUUUGCUCUUUUGAGGGGAUACAUACCUUCCUUGCUUUUUGAAACUUUAUGAGAUGCUCUAUAUUUUUCUUUUCUCUCAGGUGGGUAUCUUGUACCCCUAAUUCUACUGUCGGACACUUGUCCAUUUUUACCUCUCGUCUCACUUUUCUUUUCUUUCGAGGUUCCGAGCACUUGCUCCUUUUUAUUUCCUCGUAUAUUAUUAUUUUUUUAUUAGAGCACUCAUCUCUUGAGAUAAUAUAGCAAGUGGUAGUAACAAGAUAACUUGAGCAUUUAUUUCACAAGUGCAAAACAGAAAUAUUUUUGGCUAUUCUCUCCCGGAUUAGGAGUAGAAUAUUUUUAGGUGGUUCUGGAGAUGGAAAUGAAUGGAUAUAUGUGGAUGGUACUUCCGGAGUAGAAGUAGCAUAUAUGAGUGAACGUGCAAGUGAAAUCUUGAUUUAACCACAUGACAAGCUCCUAAGGGUCUACACAGUUUGACCACACUCAAUGCUCAUAAGCAGUAAAUAUUAAAUGUGUGGCUCAAAGUCUAGCAAGCAUGUAUAUAUGGCUGUGGUAGGAAUUUAAACUCUCAUCAUACAGGAACUCAUCAUGCAACAUUUUAAAGAUUUUCAAAGAUAAAAUUCUCCAGAAUUCUAGCAUCUCUAGGAACAGAUAAACAGCAGCUCAACCUUCCCAUAUCAUAUCCGUUAACAACUUAGACUUCAGAUCAAGUUUUCAUCCCACAAGUUUAGGUCU